rnacentral:rRNA from 1 species
CAUGCAAGUCGAACGCACCGCAAGGUGAGUGGCAGACGGGUGAGUAAUGCGUGGGAACCUACCCUGUGGUACGAAUAACUUCCGGAAACGGAAGCUAAUACCGUAUAUCUCCUGCGGGAGAAAGAUUUAUCGCCAUAGGAUGGGCCCACGUUGGAUUAGCUAGUUGGUAGGGUAAUGGCCUACCAAGGCAACGAUCCAUAGCUGGUCUGAGAGGAUGAUCAGCCACACUGGGACUGAGACACGGCCCAGACUCCUUACGGGAGGCAGCAGUGGGGAAUAUUGGACAAUGGGCGCAAGCCUGAUCCAGCCAUGCCGCGUGAGUGAAGAAGGCCUUAGGGUUGUAAAGCUCUUUUGGAGGGGACGAUAAUGACGGUACCCGCAGAAUAAGCCCCGGCUAACUUCGUGCCAGCAGCCGCGGUAAUACGAAGGGGGCUAGCGUUGUUCGGAAUCACUGGGCGUAAAGCGCACGCAGGCGGAUUGAUAAGUCAGGGGUGAAAUCCCGGGGCUCAACCUCGGAAUUGCCUUUGAUACUGUCUGUCUUGAGUUCGGGAGAGGUUGGCGGAAUUCCUAGUGUAGAGGUGAAAUUCGUAGAUAUUAGGAAGAACACCAGUGGCGAAGGCGGCCAACUGGCCCGAUACUGACGCUCAUGUGCGAAAGCGUGGGGAGCAAACAGGAUUAGAUACCCAGGUAGUCCACGCCGUAAACUAUGGAUGCUAGCCGUUGGGGAGCUUGCUCUUCAGUGGCGCAGCUAACGUCUUAAGCAUCCCGCCUGGGGAGUACGGUCGCAAGAUUAAAACUCAAAGGAAUUGACGGGGGCCCGCACAGGCGGUGGAGCAUGUGGUUUAAUUCGAGGCAACGCGAAGAACCUUACCAGCUCUGGACAUGCCGUGCUACGUGGAGAGAUUCACGGAACCCUUCGGGGACGCGGACACAGGUG